CGUUUGAUGUGAUUAACUGCGGGUUCAACCAACAGUGACCCUGCAGUUGUUUUACAGUAUUUCAUAGGAUGUAUACGAGCUGUAAACGGAUUUCCUCUCAUACUACAAGCUGAUCCUGGAACGGAAAAUUCAGAUAUGGGUGCAAUUCAAUGCACACUUCGACAUGAAGCUGGCGACUGCUUUGCGAGACAGCAUAGUUUUAGAGUUGUAAAGUCAACAUUUAAUCAAAGGAUAGAGGCAUGGUGGAGCAUGUUUAGAAGGCUAAAAAGUGAGUGGUGGAUACGUUUCUUUCACGACUUGGAGCUGUUUGGAUUAUUUCAUAGAGGGAAUGUGACAAAUUUGUAUAGUCUUCGUUAUUGCUUUAUGCCUGUUAUUCAAAAAGAGCUUGAUGAUUUACUCGAACAAUGGAAUGACCAUUAUGUAUCUCAAAGCAGACAGGCAUCAUGCCCAGCUGGAAGGCCUAAUAUUAUACA